rnacentral:lncRNA from 1 species
AUCUGUACAUGUAUCGGGUAUGCUUCCGCUGAUACCCGGGCGUGACAAGUUGAGCAUAUCUUUUAGUUAGUUAAAUGAGAAUUUUGUAGCUAUCCUCUUAUUUAGUUUUAUCUGUACUUAUUUUUAGAUUUUUAUUGAUUAGUUAAUCUCUAGAUAAGGCUGUUAUGAUUAGUUAUUUAAGAUAAGAUCGAAUCCAAAGUUAGUUAGGAGUAUCUAAAGCUAAAGAUAGUAUAAAUAAGAUGUAGAUCUUCAUUGUAUGAAGAAGACGAUGAUAUUAAUGAAUUAAUAAAAAUGAUUCGGAGCUUUGGUGCUCGAUCAACAUUUUUUCCUUUGCGAAUGCGUCGCCUUGGAGUGAAUCCAGUCCCGAAGUGAGUUCAGUUCAGGAGUGAGUCCUGAUUAUCUUUUCUAUUUCUUUCUUUUUUAAAUUUUUUUUUAUUUUUUUAAUUUUAAUUUUUUUAAUUACGAAAAUUUCUAAAAAAAAGUAUUUCAAAAACUUUCAAAUUUUCAGAACGCUUUCAAAAUCAUAAAUUAUAGUUUGGAGCCCUCUAAAAACGUAGGACCCUAUAUCCGUCCUACUUUAGAUUUGGUAUCAGAGCUUAGGCUAUUUGACGGUUCUAUUUCGUCAAAAGUUUUGGGCUUGUGGACGAAAACAAGGUGGAAAUUUUUUUAAAAAUAGGUGAAAAAAAUAUAAAGAAAAGUGUGUGGAGAAAAAAAAAUGGAGAGUGUGUAAAAAAAAAGAAAAAAAGAAAAAAAAAAUUAUGGAUGCCAAAGAAUGUCUUAAAAUAGUUUUUCAAAAGUAUGGUAGAAGAAAAGGAAUUCAUAUUGAGUCUUUAAAAGAAAUAUGCGAGAUAACAAGAGUAGAGUUUGAUGAAUGGUUGUACGAUCAGAGGUUAUAUUUUGAGAGAAAAAGAAAUGAUAUUCGAAUGGAAAUACUAAAUGACUUGAGAUGGUGGUAUAGACAAAGGCAAAUAUCUCAUCUUGAUUUUAACAUAAUAUUUUUGCUGGAAGAAGAAAGAAGGUUGAAAGAUAUUGAAAAUGGUGCUAAAAUUGCUAAAGAUGAUUUUCGAUGGAUGGGUAAAGGGCAGAGAUGAGUAUCGAUGAUCCAACUAAAAGUUCAACUGGAAACCCUAGUUGCUCAACAGAGUACACAAUCUAUAGCAUAGUUGGGAGUCGACAAUUUUGAGUUCCAUCCACACCAUCCGAUUGCCAGGAAGUUCCAGAUGUGGACGAGCCCGAGUUAGAUUUAGAAAAUCCAAAGUUGAUUCAUGAAGAUAAGGUAAAUCAGUGUUUUGAGGAGGUAAGAUUGCAAAUCGAGUUACCCUUAUUGCCCCAGCAAUAUGAGUCCGCUAUACUUUUAGAUUGCAUCGAAAGCAUCUUUAUUAUUGGUAUCAAACCUUACGAAAUCUCAUGAACUUGUCAGUUGUUCUUCCUACUUCAAUACCAAACCGGAAGCUCAGAUGAUACAAGUGGUUCGACAUGCAGACAUUGGGUUACAUCACUUUAUUCUACACACUUGGUUAUUUUCUAUCACCUUGCAAAUCCACCUGAUCUCGAGGACGAGAUUGUGCGCAGCGGAAGCGAAUGAUGUAGAACAGGCCUGAACCAAUGUUGAUUGGAUUGAACUGAUUUAGUUCAUCAUUUUUUAAACUUAGAUUAGAUUAGUUGAGCAUAUCUUUUAGUUAGUUAAAUGAGAAUUUUGUAGCUAUCCUCUUAUUUAGUUUUAUCUGUACUUAUUUUUAGAUUUUUAUUGAUUAGUUAAUCUCUAGAUAAGGCUGUUAUGAUUAGUUAUUUAAGAUAAGAUCGAAUCCGAAGUUAGUUAGGUGUAUCUAAAGCUAAAGAUAGUAUAAAUAAGAUGUAGAUCUUCAUUGUAUGAAGAAGACGAUGAUAUUAAUGAAUUAAUAAAAAUGAUUCGGAGCUUAGGUGCUCGAUCAACCUUUUUUCCUUCGCGAAUGCAUCACGUUGGAGUGAGCCCAGCCCCGAAGUGAGUUCGGUUCAAGAGUGAGUCCUGAUUAUCUUUUCUAUUUCUUUCUUUUUUUGAAUUUUUUUAUUUUCUUUAAUUUUUAUUUUUUUAAUUACGAAAAUUUCUAAAAAAAAGUAUUUCAAAAACUUUCAAAUUUUUAAAACGCUUUUAAAAUCAUAAAUUAUAUUUU